GAUGAACGCUAGCUACAGGCUUAACACAUGCAAGUCGCGGGGCAGCAUGGGGGUUGCUUGCAAUCCCCGAUGGCGACCGGCGCACGGGUGAGUAACGCGUAUCCAACCUGCCCUUCACCACGGGAUAACCCGGCGAAAGUCGGACUAAUACCGUAUGUUGUCCAUUGACGGCAUCCGAUUUGGACGAAAGGUUUGGCGGUGAAGGAUGGGGAUGCGUCCGAUUAGCUGGACGGCGGGGUGACGGCCCACCGUGGCGACGAUCGGUAGGGGUUCUGAGAGGAAGGUCCCCCACACUGGAACCGAGACACGGUCCAGACUCCUACGGGAGGCAGCAGUGAGGAAUAUUGGUCAAUGGGCGUAAGCCUGAACCAGCCAAGUAGCGUGCAGGAUGACGGCCCUAUGGGUUGUAAACUGCUUUUAUGCGGGGAUAAAGUGGCCCACGUGUGGGUUUUUGCAGGUACCGCAUGAAUAAGGACCGGCUAAUUCCGUG
rnacentral:rRNA from 1 species